rnacentral:tRNA from 1 species
GCUGGCGUAGCUCAGCUGGUAGAGCGGCUGAUUUGUAAUCAGCGGGUCGGGGGUUCGAUUCCUCUCGCCAGCU